GAUGAACGCUGGCGGCGUGCUUAACACAUGCAAGUCGAGCGAAGCAGUUAAGUUGAUUUCUUCGGAUUGAUUCUUAACUGACUGAGCGGCGGACGGGUGAGUAACGCGUGGGUGACCUGCCCCAUACCGGGGGAUAACAGCUGGAAACGGCUGCUAAUACCGCAUAAGCGCACAGAGCUGCAUGGCUCGGUGUGAAAAACUCCGGUGGUAUGGGAUGGGCUCGCGUCUGAUUAGGCAGUUGGCGGGGUAACGGCCCACCAAACCGACGAUCAGUAGCCGGCCUGAGAGGGCGACCGGCCACAUUGGGACUGAGACACGGCCCAAACUCCUACGGGAGGCAGCAGUGGGGAAUAUUGCACAAUGGGGGAAACCCUGAUGCAGCGACGCCGCGUGAGCGAAGAAGUAUUUCGGUAUGUAAAGCUCUAUCAGCAGGGAAGAUAAUGACGG
rnacentral:rRNA from 1 species